GCAGUAGCCGCGGGAAUACGUAGGUCCCGAGCGUUGUCCGGAUUUAUUGGGCGUAAAGCGAGCGCAGGCGGUUAGAUAAGUCUGAAGUUAAAGGCUGUGGCUUAACCAUAGUACGCUUUGGAAAUUGUUUAACUUGAGUGCAAGAGGGGAGAGUGGAAUUCCAUGUGUAGCGGUGAAAUGCGUAGAUAUAUGGAGGAACACCGGUGGCGAAAGCGGCUCUCUGGCUUGUAACUGACGCUGAGGCUCGAAAGCGUGGGUAUCAAACAGGAUUAGAUACCCCCGUAGUCCCUGUCUCUUAUACA
rnacentral:rRNA from 1 species